AACGAACGCUGGCGGCAGGCCUAACACAUGCAAGUCAAACGGGGUAGCAAUACCUAGUGGCGCACGGGUGAGUAACACGUGGGAAUCUCCCUUUCAGUACGGAAUAACAGCGGGAAACUGCUGCUAAUACCGUAUGGUCCCUUCGGGGUAAAGAUUUAUCGCUGAAAGAUGAGCCCGCGUCAGAUUAGCUAGUUGGUGGGGUAACGGCCUACCAAGGCUACGAUCUGUAGCUGGCCUUAGAGGACGAUCAGCCACACUGGAACUGAGACACGGUCCAGACUCCUACGGGAGGCAGCAGUGGGGAAUAUUGAACAAUGGGGGAAACCCUGAUCCAGCCAUGCCGCGUGAGUGAUGAAGGCCUUCGGGUUGUAAAGCUCUUUAGGGUGGGACGAUAAUGACGGUACCACCAGAAUAAGCCCCGGCUAACUUCGUGCCAGCAGCCGCCGUAA
rnacentral:rRNA from 1 species